rnacentral:rRNA from 1 species
CAAAACGACUCUCGGCAACGGAUAUCUCGGCUCUUGCAUCGAUGAAGAACGUAGCGAAAUGCGAUACGUGGUGUGAAUUGCAGAAUCCCGUGAACCAUCGAGUUUUUGAACGCAAGUUGCGCCCAAAGCCUUUUGGUUGAGGGCACGUCUGCUUGGG